CCUACGGGAGGCAGCAGUGGGGAAUUUUCCGCAAUGGGCGAAAGCCUGACGGAGCAAUACCGCGUGAGGGAGGAAGGCUCUUGGGUUGUAAACCUCUUUUAUCAGGGAAGAAAAAAAUGACGGUACCUGAUGAAUAAGCAUCGGCUAACUCCGUGCCAGCAGCCGCGGUAAUACGGAGGAUGCGAGCGUUAUCCGGAAUGAUUGGGCGUAAAGCGUCCGCAGGUGGCGAUGUAAGUCUGCUGUUAAAGAGUUUGGCUCAACCAAAUAAAGGCGGUGGAAACUACAUAGCUAGAGUACGUUCGGGGCAGAGGGAAUUCCUGGUGUAGCGGUGAAAUGCGUAGAGAUCAGGAAGAACACCGGUGGCGAAAGCGCUCUGCUAGGCCGUAACUGACACUGAGGGACGAAAGCUAGGGGAGCGAAUGGGAUUAGAUACCCCAGUAGUCCUAGCCGUAAACGAUGGAUACUAGGCGUUGUCUGUAUCGACCCGGACAGUGCCGUAGCUAACGCGUUAAGUAUCCGCCUGGGGAGUACGCACGCAAGUGUGAAACUCAAAGGAAUUGACGG
rnacentral:rRNA from 1 species